ACCGAGACAGGAUUCCAUUUAACCAAUGGCUAGGGUAACCUAAGGGAUAGUGCAACAGAAAUAUACCGCCAAUAUAUUUAAUAUUGGUAAGGGUGAAAAGGCAGGGUAAGAGCCUACCGAUUUUUUAGCAAUAAAAAAUGCCAUGUAAACCCAAUCCGUAGCAAGAAUAGCAGGUAAAUGUCUCAAUAUUAGCUAUUCGCUAGAAUGAUAUUGUGAAAUAUCAUCAAGAUAAAUAAUUACCUAAA
rnacentral:misc_RNA from 1 species